rnacentral:rRNA from 1 species
GACGUAGGUGGCGAGCGUUAUCCGGAAUUACUGGGCGUAAAGCGUGCGCAGGCGGUUAUGCAAGACAGAGGUGAAAUCCCCGGGCUCAACCUGGGAACUGCCUUUGUGACUGCAUAGCUAGAGUACGGUAGAGGGGGAUGGAAUUCCGCGUGUGGCAGUGAAAUGCGUAGAUAUGCGGAGGAACACCGAUGGCGAAGGCAAUCCCCUGGACCUGUACUGACGCUCAUGCACGAAAGCGUGGGGAGCAAACAGG